GCCUAUGUAAUGCAGUGGUUAGGGAACUGGGUUUGUAGCUCAGAGUUUGCCAGUUCAAUUCCCAGUUGGGGCA
rnacentral:tRNA from 1 species